rnacentral:rRNA from 1 species
UACAUUAGAUACCCGCGUAGUCCCAGCCGUAAACUAUGCGCGUUAGGUGUAUCGGUGACCACGAGUCACCGAGGUGCCGAAGGGAAACCGUGAAACGUGCCGCCUGGGAAGUACGGUCGCAAGGCUGAACUUAAAGGAAUUGCGGGGGAGCACCACAACGGGUGGAGCCUGCGGUUUAAUUGGACUCAACGCCGGGAAGCUCACCGGAUAAGACAGCGGAAUGAUUGCCGGGCUGAAGACUCUGCAUGACUAGCUG